UACGUAGGUGACAAGCGUUGUCCGGAUUUACUGGGCGUAAAGAGCGCGCAGGCGGUCGUUCAAGUCGAGUGUGAAAGCCCCCGGCUCAACUGGGGAGGGUCAUUCGAUACUGAUCGACUCGAAGGCAGGAGAGGGAAGUGGAAUUCCCGGUGUAGUGGUGAAAUGCGUAGAUAUCGGGAGGAACACCAGUGGCGAAGGCGGUUCUCUGGGCCGUUACCUGACGCUGAGGAGCGAAAGCGUGGGGAGCAAACAGG
rnacentral:rRNA from 1 species